rnacentral:rRNA from 1 species
CUACGGGGGGCACCAGUGGGGAAUAUUGCACAAUGGGCGCAAGCCUGAUGCAGCCAUGCCGCGUGUAUGAAGAAGGCCUUCGGGUUGUAAAGUACUUUCAGCGGGGAGGAAGGGAGUAAAGUUAAUACCUUUGCUCAUUGACGUUACCCGCAGAAGAAGCACCGGCUAAAUCCGUGCCAGCAGCCGCGGUAAUACGGAGGGUGCAAGCGUUAAUCGGAAUUACUGGGCGUAAAGCGCACGCAGGCGGUUUGUUAAGUCAGAUGUGAAAUCCCCGGGCUCAACCUGGGAACGGCAUCUGAUACUGGCAAGCUUGAGUCUCGUAGAGGGGGGUAGAAUUCCAGGUGUAGCGGUGAAAUGCGUAGAGAUCUGGAGGAAUACCGGUGGCGAAGGCGGCCCCCUGGACGAAGACUGACGCUCAGGUGCGAAAGCGUGGGGAGCAAACAGGAUUAGAUACCCUCGUAGUC